ensembl:lncRNA
UUCUGGAUAUUAGCACUUUAUCAGAUAGAUAGAUUACAAAAGUUUUCUCCCACUCUGCGGGUUGCCGUUCACUCUGAUAAUGUUUUUUUUUUUGGUCUGCAGAAGCUCUUUAGUUUAAUUAGAUCCCAUUUGUCAAUUUUGGCUUUUGUUGCCAUUGCUUUUGGUGUUUUAGUCAUCAAGUCUUUGCCCAUGCCUAUGUCAUGAAUGGUAUUGCCUAGGUUUUCUUCUAGGGUUUUUAUAGUUUUAGGUUUUAGGUUUAAGUCUUUAAUCCAUCUUCAGUUAAUUUUUGUAUAAGGUGUAAGGAAGGGGUCCAUUUUCAGUUUUCUGCAUAUGGCUAACCAGUUUUCUCAACACCAUUUAUUAAAUAGGGAAUCCUUUCCCUAUUGCUUGUUUUUGUCAGGUUUGUCAAAGAUCAGAUGACAACCUAAUUUAUUUUAAUGUACAUCUCCAUACUUUAAAAUAAGCAUUAUUUCUUGGCGAGUGUACUCAGCAAGCUUUCUAUUUAAACUGCAUAUAUGAUAUGAUACCAAUUUUUAAAAAUUGUAUGUGUGGAUGCAUAUAGGAAAUAAGUCUGUAUAAAUACUUUCCAAGAUGUUAAUACAUUUGUAUAUUUAUUUGGAAGUGGAACUUUUCUUUAUACCUCUCUGUAUUUUUUACACAGCUUAUUUACUUUAAUAUUCAGAAAAAGUACUAAUUAAGCACAAAAUGUUUAUGUAAAGACUUCUCAGAUGGCACUCCUUGUCCCUCUGAUUCACUGGGAUUUGCAGCUAGCUCUAUUCAUUCAAUAAACAUUUAUUAGCCGGGUGUGUGGCGCACACCUGAGGUCCUAGCUACUCAGGAGUCUGAGGCUGGAGGCUCUCUUGAGCUCAGGAGUUCAAGGAGCUGUGAUCAUACCACCGCCCUCCAGCCUGAGCAAUAGAGAAAGAUCCUAUCUCUAAAAAGAAAAAAAAACAUAAAAAUACAAAUAUUUUUUGAAUACCUACCAUGUGCAAGGCCCUGUGCUAACGGCUGUUAGAUAAAUAGUUUUGCCAUUUUAUAAAGAUCAAACCUUUCCAUUAACAGAUAUUACCGAGUGCCUAUAAUGUCUUUAGAGCUGCUGGGAGCUCUAGAUACGGGGUCAAACAAGACUUGUUUCUAUACUAUAAACAUGUAAGCCAAAUAAGAAGUAAUAAUGAUCAUGAUGUAUGUUUUAAAGGAGAUACUUUUGGGUAACAUCACAGAUGGUGACUGGGUGGGGGAGGUAUGGCUGCUUUAGUUACGGUAGCCAUGGGAAGUCCUGGCUGAAGGGUUGCCUCCUUCUAAUAUUUGUGACUUCUGAUGAAGUCCUGUCUUCACAAAGUUGCCUCCUUCUAAUAUUCAGGCCUCAACCUUUGGGUUGACAGGACCUCAAGCAGAAGGAAUAGCAAGAGGGAGCAAGCUCACUAUAUUCAGGGAACAAAAGCAAUGACAAACAAACAAAAGAUAGUGACAGAGAGGAGAGAAGGAAGAGAAGUCAGGAGAGCCAAUAGGGCAACCUUCAGGCGAUGGCAACGACUUUAGUUUGAUUCUCAUCGCAUGAGAAGUCAUUGGUGAGUUAUAGGUGGAGAAGUGAUGUUGCCUAGUUUACAUUUAAUAAAGAUCCCACUGGCUUCUGAGUUAACAGUAGAUUUUGGGGAAACAAGAGUAUAGGCAGGAUGCCAAUUGGGAUGCUGUUGAGGACACAGCUAGAAGUUGCCA